GGGCCCGUAACUCAGCUUGGCCAGAGUAGCGGCCUUUUAAGCCGACAGCCGCGGGUUCAAAUCCCGCCGGGCCCA
rnacentral:tRNA from 1 species